rnacentral:rRNA from 1 species
CCUGACUGCUAUCGGAUUGAUACUAAGCCAUGCGAGUCAUUGUAGCAAUACAAGGCAUACGGCUCAGUAACGCGUAGUCAACCUAACCUAUGGACGGGAAUAACCUCGGGAAACUGAGAAUAAUGCCCGAUAGAACACUAUACCUGGAAUGGUUUGUGUUCCAAAUGAUUUAUCGCCAUAGGAUGGGACUGCGGCCUAUCAGUUUGUUGGUGAGGUAAUGGCCCACCAAGACUAUUACAGGUACGGGCUCUGAGAGGAGUAGCCCGGAGAUGGGUACUGAGACACGGACCCAGGCCCUAUGGGGCGCAGCAGGCGAGAAAACUUUGCAAUGUGCGAAAGCACGACAAGGUUAAUCCGAGUGAUUUGUGCUAAACGAAUCUUUUGUUAGUCCUAGAAACACUAACGAAUAAGGGGUGGGCAAGUUCUGGUGUCAGCCGCCGCGGUAAAACCAGCACCUCAAGUGGUCAGGAUGAUUAUUGGGCCUAAAGCAUCCGUAGCCGGCUCUGUAAGUUUUCGGUUAAAUCUGUACGCUUAACGUACAGGCUGCCGGGAAUACUGCAGAGCUAGGGAGUGGGAGAGGUAGACGGUACUCGGUAGGAAGUGGUAAAAUGCUUUGAUCUAUCGAUGACCACCUGUGGCGAAGGCGGUCUACCAGAACACGUCCGACGGUGAGGGAUGAAAGCUGGGGGAGCAAACCAGAUUAGAUACCCGGGUAGUCCCAGCUGUAAACUAUGCAAACUCAGUGAUGCAUUGGCUUGUGGCCAAUGCAGUGCUGCAGGGAAGCCGUUAAGUUUGCCGCCUGGGAAGUACGUACGCAAGUAUGAAACUUAAAGGAAUUGGCGGGGGAGCACCACAAGGGGUGAAGCCUGCGGUUC